rnacentral:rRNA from 1 species
UACAGAGGUCCCAAGCGUUGUUCGGAUUCAUUGGGCGUAAAGGGCUCGUAGGCGGCCAACUAAGUCGGACGUGAAAUCCCUCAGCUUAACUGGGGAACUGCGUCCGAUACUGGAUGGCUUGGAUUUGGGAGAGGGAUGCGGAAUUCCAGGUGUAGCGGUGAAAUUCGUAGAUAUCAGGAGGAACACCGGUGGCGAAGGCGGCCAUCUGGACGACAACUGACGCUGAGAUGCGAAAGCGUGGGGAGCAAACAGG